rnacentral:tRNA from 1 species
GCGCCGUUGGUCUAGUGGUUAGGAUUCGAGCUUCCCAAGCUCGCGGGGCGGGUUCGAUUCCCGCACGGCGCA